rnacentral:lncRNA from 1 species
ACAAACUAGCUUUUUAUUAUUACACGAAUAUGAAUACAAGGUCUCCGAUAUUACAAUGAAUAACAUCGGCACGGCGACACUACGCCAUCCUCAGUUGCUCUAUGCAAGCAGAAGAACAACUCGAAGCAGCGGAAUAACUCUAGCAGCGGAACAAUGACGACGGUGGUGAACUCCACUCCGCAGGGACUCUAGCUGGAACGCUUAUCCUAGCUCGCACGAACGGAAACCACAACAAGCAAGCAAUCAAAUCCGGCAUGACCUGCAAACUGGCAUGACACGCCAGGUCAGUACAUUGAAUGUACUUGCAAGCUCACAAUAAUCCAGAAGCAUUCAAGACAAACAACAGCAUGGCAAUUACAGGUUAAACAGGAAUUAUCAUGAUAUCAUCAGAAUAACAUGGCAUGACCAAUAUAAACAUGAUACAGCUAACACAACAUGAGCAUAUUAAUCCGACAAUACUAGCAUGCAACAUGAUGACACUAUAUGCACCACUUAUUCUGCUCGGGUUACCUCGUAACCAACUCAUGCAUCACUUACCAACCUCGUACAUCACACGAUCAUCUCAGGAUCAAAUCAAGCUUGGUAUAAACAAUACCGUAGUAAUCAGUAAAUGACCACAAGGAGCUUGAUCUUUACCCAUGACUCUCGUACAACAUCACGAUUAUACAACGACUCGGUAUCCUCGAUACCAUCGUGAUCCUUACGGCGAUCACAACCACGACCAACACUUGGUCCCAAACCGUGAUCCUUACGGCGAUCACAACCCGACCAAUACAUGGCCCGUGAUCCUUACGGCGAUCACAACCCGACCACUAACUGGCCCGUGAUCCUUACGGCGAUCACAACCCGACCACUAAAUGGCCCGUGAUCCUUACGGCGAUCACAACCAACUUAUCUCAUUGUUAUUAAGCACAUUAUUCUUAUUACUGUUGACUCAUGGUGUGACCUAGUUUCGACCUGGGCCCUUAUCCGCGGGCGCGGCUAUCGAUAGAUUUAAUAUACACUCUGCAGAGGUUAGUACACUGUACCCACACUACGGAACCCAUGGCCUCGCACUCCCAUUCGGGUGGACCAACAGUGUUCCGACAAAACCGUCCAACUGCCAUGACACUCUCCCGGCCACUCCGACUCACUCCCCACUGGGCUAAGUCAUGGGUGGCCCCGUGUCUACCUCCAGACACAACGACCACCGCCGUGGCCCGUCCCACACGGGGACACGUAUCCAAAAACUCAAACAACUCAACAACGGGCACACAAGGUUAUGCCUGCUUACUGGGCCAGGGUACAGCACGCCCAUAACCUUCCCUCGUUGGAGGCACCGGCGAGAGGCACGACAAUAGACCCAGUUAGGACCGUCCCAUACCGGUAAGCGUGGUUGCACUGGUCAGCAUCGAUUCAGCGGCACCAUGACUCAGCCAACAGUUGUUCAAGUUCAAUUUAAUCCGGUUAACUUGAAUGCAAAUAUGCUGAGCCAUGAUAAAAUGCAUGAACAUGAUAUCAACAUAAUCAUGAGGUAUCACAUAAUUAUCCACCAUAUCAACAAUAACUCAUAUCCACUGAACAUGGAAUUCUGACUAGCAUGACCAUCACCAACAUCAACAUGUACCACUAGCAAUCAUAAACAUAUGAAAGGUAAUACUAGCAGGUAGAACAUGAUCACAAAGUACAAAACAACAUAGCACAAAAGUGAACAUGCAAAUCUGAACAUCACUAGAACAACGAUAACCAUCUUUUCAACAAGCAAACCUUUAUAAAGAUUUAAUUUGAAAACCAUGGCUACUGCAUGACUAUCAUGCAAGUGGGUAUUGUGGCUUGCCUGGGGAUGAAGAAGGCACCGGGGAGAAGUGCG